UCUAAUAAUUAUUGUACAGUACUAGAUGAUCUUCUCUGUUUUGGGUCAGAUGCAAUUGCCUUGAAUCACUAGCCAGUUUAAAACAUUUCUUCUACUCUUGGCUUAAGAAAUUGUAUUUUAUUAUUGUACCAGCAUUAGGUAGUUAACUCCACUUAUGCAUUGACCUCUACUACCGUGUAGCGGGAAAUUUCGUUAUUUGAGCCCUCGAGAAAUGUUGUAUAGUUGUUCACAUUUCAAUGCCAUAGCUUUGCAUGUGAAAUACUGGUGUGUGGGAGUGUCUUCCAUUUAUAUUACAUGAAGUGUGAAGUGUGCUGUAAGUUUGUACAGAGAGGACUCCCAUGGUGGCAAUGAAUGUAUGGCAAUGAUCUGAUGAUGGCUCCACUGCUCUGAUGGACCAAUGCAGGAGAAGUUAUUCUGUAUAAUUAUUACACUAAAUUAAUGUAUGCCACUGUUUGGAUCGGUUUCUGUUCUGCUCAGCUUCUUCCUCCAACUCGCUUACACAGGCUAAGCUUAUUCUUAGUUCAUUCUUAGUUCAUUCUAUAGUCUAGUAUAUUGUCGGUUUGGUUGUUUUAUGUUUUUCACCUGGUCAUACGGAAUCACUUCAUUAAUUUUUAUACAGUGCAGACCGCACCUCUAUCCACACAUUGUAUCUGCACAUCCUGUAUAUAUGGGGCCACACCCCCACUCACUGUACUGAUAUGUGGUCACACCCCCAUACAUGGUAACCCUCUUGACCACACCCCAACCCAUGCAUUGUGUCGUACAUGCUGUGUUUUUGUGUACAGUACACAUCAUCCGUGUCUUUAUCCCCACACCUAGUCGGAGGGACAGCAAGUUCUACUAAGAGCCAGCAUCACCAACUAACCAACACACUACAAAACCUACCUACUACCAGCUAGGACAGCACACCACCCGGGACAGACUCUACUAUACCAUGUAAUACGCCUUUGUAUUACGAUCAUGAUACAAUUUGCUGCCCUCCCUCGCCCAUGGAUUGAAUAAUUAUGGACACUCGCAGGAGACUGACACACAAUAAUAGACACCAAAGGGCCAGUUACUGUAUCAUGUACGAAUAUUCUGUUGCUUGUACAUUUCGUAACAUUAUCAGUAAUUGACUGUAGAGUAGCUCCCCUUUCUUUAUCACUCAAUGCAGGCAGUGUAUGUGAUUUUCUGACAGGAAAGGCUACUCUAAACAGAGGGAGUCGGCCACACAAGUCGGAGGGAGCAGCAAGUUCUACUAAGAGCCAGCAUCACCCACUAACCAACACUCUACAAGACCUACCUACUACCAGCUAGGACAGCACACCACCCGGGACAGACUCUACUAUACCCAUGUAAUACGCCUUUGUAUUACGAUCAUGAUACAAUUUGCUGCCCUCCCUCGCCAAUGGAUUGAAUAAUUAUGGACACUCGCAGGACAACUAAGAGACUGACACACAAUAAUAGACACCAAAGGCAGUGUAUGUGAUUUUCUGACAGGAAAGGCUACUCUAAACAAAGGGAGUCGGCCACACAAGUCGGAGGGAGCAGCAAGUUCUACUAAGAGCCAGCAUCACCAACUAACCAACACUACAAGACCUACCUACUACCAGCUAGGACAGCACACCACCCGGGACAGACUCUACUAUACCAUGUAAUACGCCUUUUUAUUACGAUCAUGAUACAAUUUGCUGCCCUCCCUUGCCCAUGGAUUGAAUAAUUAUGGACACUCGCAGGACAACUAAGAGACUGACACACAAUAAUAGACACCUAACUGCAUUUUUGCCAUUCAUAUAAUAAAAAUAAUUUUGCCAUUAA